UGAUCGGUUAAACAACUUGCCAACAUUUCGUAAUGUCAAACAGUUGACCAUAACCGAGGAAGUAGACUUUGAUGACCUAUUAAUUGCUGUACUCAAAGCAACACCAAAUUUGGAAUCCCUCAAAUUUGAUAAUUUGAUUACUCCGUGUUACCCUGAAUACAAUGGUUGGAAGGUAAAUAUGGUUCAUACCCGAUGUUUAUUUCAUAAUCUUAAAUCCGUUUGCUUUCGGCAAUUUAUUGGGAAGCCGAGGGAGAUGAGGUGGGUGAAACUGAUUUUGAAGAAUGCAAAACUUUUACAAACAAUGAUUAUCUCAUAUGGAGCUAAAGGUGCAGCUUGCCUUUCUAACCCAAAAAGCAAACAAGAGCUUACAGUAGAAAUACCGAGUAUUCCAAGAGCCUCUUCAAGUUGUGUUCAAGUUCAACUCUUUUCCUAAUUCUUUUAUAUGAUGAUGGUAUUGAUGCCAAUUGGCACCUUUUUUUCUUUUGAUGUUCUUUUAGUUUGUUCUAUUCUUAGUUAGAAUCUUUGAGUGAGGUGAAGCAGCUAAUACUAGUAGUCAGUAGUUUUUCUGUAAAGAACUUGGAUCUUUAAGGGUCGUCAACUUCUGGGAUGAAAAUUUGCAACUAUUUUCUUCAUCAUA